UACGAAGGGGGCUAGCGUUGCUCGGAAUCACUGGGCGUAAAGCGCACGUAGGCGGAUUGUUAAGUCAGGGGUGAAAUCCUGGAGCUCAACUCCAGAACUGCCUUUGAUACUGGCGAUCUUGAGUUCGGGAGAGGUGAGUGGAACUGCGAGUGUAGAGGUGAAAUUCGUAGAUAUUCGCAAGAACACCAGUGGCGAAGGCGGCUCACUGGCCCGAUACUGACGCUGAG
rnacentral:rRNA from 1 species